CAAAACACACAAUUACCAGCUAAAGAUGGUCUCUCAGAUGUUGUCCUCUAAAUUCUUAAUUUUCUUUUCUCAGGUAAGCACUUGAAAAGUUUCUCUUCUGACUGACAUGGAAAAGUGGGAUAGAUCUCGGAGAAGCGUUGACGUUCCCAUCCAGAAGAAUUCCAGCACCCCCUAAUGUCACAAUGGAGUUACUGAAGUGCUCAACUCUCAACAGCACAACCGUUUAAAAGCAAAAACAGCCAAGAGUUACUUGCAUUUCCAAACUCUGGUGGAAGCUGAGAGGAACAAUGUUACAGCAAAAGAAUGGGCUGAAAUAUUUUUAAACAGUAAUUACCUGGCCGGGAUCCGACAGAGGGGGAUUAAUGGAGGAACGCGGAGCAUCAGGUUCCAGAGAUGUGUGCUGGAAGGUACGAUGAGGGAGAGACGCGCUUCUCCGUCACACACGGGAAAUGAGGAAACGGCAGAUUUCUGAUGUCGAGCUGUUUCUCUGUUCUUUUCCACCAGCACAAGUCAUCAGCUCACGCCAAGCCCUUCACAAACUAACAGGAGCUAUUUAGUCUUUUAAAUCAAGUCUGGGAGAUGUUUCAGGAUUUGCCUUUUUCUUCGUUUAACCCUUUGUUUUUUUUUUGUUUUUGUCGUGGUUAAAGUAACUGUAUUUGGUGCUAGUUAACUCUCAUAGUACAUUUUUAUAAACCAGACAUCUGGACUUUAUUUUUCUUGGAGUGAUGAUCUACAGUACAUUGACUUUCACUAGUUAGUUGCAAAAGGCAAGCAGCUACUUAUGAGGUCUUGCUCAGGUUGACUGAAUAUUAUGGAAGACCAUUUCCAACACUGAAUAAAAAAAUUAUGAUUGAAACUUUUUAUCUCA
ensembl:lncRNA